GGUUUCGGCUCGUAAAGCUCUGUAGGUAGUGAAGAAAGAUAGAGGUAGUAACUGGCCUUUAUUUGACGGUAAAUUACUUAGAAAGUCACGGCUAACUACGUGCCAGCAGCCGCGGUAAUACGUAGGUGGCAAGCGUUGUCCGGAUUUAUUGGGCGUAAAGCGAGUGCAGGCGGUUCAAUAAGUCUGAUGUGAAAGCCUUCGGCUCAACCGGAGAAUUGCAUCAGAAACUGUUGAACUUGAGUGCAGAAGAGGAGAGUGGAACUCCAUGUGUAGCGGUGGAAUGCGUAGAUAUAUGGAAGAACACCAGUGGCGAAGGCGGCUCUCUGGUCUGCAACUGACGCUGAGGCUCGAAAGCAUGGGUAGCCAACCGGAUUUAGAUACCCUGGUAGUC
rnacentral:rRNA from 1 species